GUGGUGGGCAUACACCUGCAUCAAGCCAUAUAGGUAACAUUGGUGGUCAGGAGGGGCUUUUGGGAGAACAUGAUAACUGAAUGAGUCCUAAGCCUGAAUGAGGCCAGGCUGGUAAGAGGUCUUAUGGCAACUGGGAAGGCAUGUCUUUCUAACCAGAGGGAUCCUCAUACUCAAAAGCCUAUGGGUGAGGGUGAGUGAGUGAUUUUCUAGAGAUGCAAAUGAGUUAAGAAGGCCAGGAAGGAGAUAGCAAAUUGAGAAAGCACAGAGCCUGGAAUCUGUUCCUGAAGAGCCCUAUAAAACCUGGUAAGGAGUUUUGCCUUGACCCUUAAGGUGGGAAGCUAUUUUAAGCAGAGGAGUACCUUGAUGAGAUCUAUAUUUCAGAAAGACCAGCAAAACACCUAAUGGGACAUUAGAGGGUUUUCAAUAAAACUUUGUCAGGUACUUCUGGCCAAGGGUUGGAACUGGCACCAAUGUGUGGGCCAGAGAGCAUAGCUGUACAAGAGACAUACGGGGUUGUGGCUAAAGAAGUAGAAGCAAGGUAGUUCUACUACGCAUUCCUCCCUUUCCUCCUUACCACAUACUCAAGCCUGCCUUGCAAUACAGUUCUACCAGAAUAUGGUCAACUAUGUCUCUGUUUUAAAAUGUCUCCACUUCCGCAAGAGUAACGAUACUCUUUUCCUCUUUGUCUUUACAGAUCUGUCAUUGAGAGCGUGGAUUUUCCACAGGUCCAUCUCCCCAGAUAACUGGUUUUGUUGCGUCCAGGUUCUCACUUGGAAAAGGCUCUUUGCCGCACAU
rnacentral:lncRNA from 12 species